rnacentral:rRNA from 1 species
UACAGAGGUCUCAAGCGUUGUUCGGAAUUACUGGGCGUAAAGGGUGCGCAGGCCGCCCGGUCAGUCAAAUGUGUAAUUCAGGGGCUCAACCCCUGCACUGCGCUUGAUACUUCCGUGCUCGAACCUUGGAGAGGAGUCUGGAAUUCUCGGUGUAGCAGUGAAAUGCGUGGAUAUCGAGAAGAACACUUAGGGCGAAAGCAAGACUCUGGACAAGUGUUGACGCUCAUGCACGAAGGCUAGGGUAGCGAACGGG